GCUCCGGUAGUAUAGUCAGGUUAAACAUGAAAUGAACCAUGUAUGACGGCCUCUCGAGCCGCCGACCCGGGUUCAAAUCCCGGCCGGAGCACCA
rnacentral:tRNA from 1 species